CACACAUUCAGUCUAUUUGGGGUUCUUUGGGCUUCAUGGAUCUAGGAGUUCAGUUUCCUCUCUAGAUUUGGGAAGAUGACAUUAUGUCUUUAAGUAAGCUCUCUGUGCCUUUCUCCUUCACUGUUCCUUCUGAAAUUUCCAUAAUCCAUGUGCUAGUUUUCUUGAUGGUGUCUCAAAGCCAUAAGCCUUUCUUCAAUGUUUUUCACUCAUUUUUAUUUUUGUUCCUCUGACUGGGUACAUUAAAUAACCUGUAUUUGAGCUUGCUGAUUCUUUCUUCUGUUUAAUUGAAUCUGCUGUCGAAGCCCUCUGUGGAAUUUUUCAGUGCUGUCAAUGUAUUCUUUAGCACCAGAAUUUCUGUUAGGUUCUUCUUAAUGGUUUCUGUUUCUGUUUUGAACUUCUCAUUUGUUCAUUUAUUUAUUUCCUGAUUUUAUUUAGUUGUCUAUCUUUUGUAGCUCACUGAGAAAAUAAUUUUGAAUUUCUUUGGCAGGCAAUUUGUAGAUCUUCAUUUCUUUGGGAUUGGUUAUUGAUGCUUUAUUUUGUUCCUUUGGUGGUGUCAUAUUUCCCUGAUUAUUUUUGAUCCUUGAAUUGCCCUUUCGAAGUAGACACCUCUUCCAGUCUUUACAUACUGGCUUUAACAGGAAAAGCACUUCAGCACUCAAUCUGCUUAGAUAUUCUAGGCAGGGCAUCCAGUGUAGUCCUCGGAUCAGUUGUUCGUGUGUGUGGGUCUGUGAGAGCAGGCCUGAAGCCUGGGUCCACAUGGGCCAACCUGACACAUAGGUGGGCUUUGAACCCCAGUCUAGGGCUGCCAGCCUGGGGUUGGGGUGAACCUGGAUUCUGGGUCUUUGGAAAUGGAUCUGGUCCUGAGUCUGUGGCAGUUGACCUGGUCCUGGCAUUCACUGGGGUGGGCCUGGCAUCUGGGUCAAUGGGGGAACAUGUGGAUCCUGGGUCCAUGGGGUGGGCUUAGAGCCUGGUUCCAUUUGAGCCUGCCUUAUCCUGUGGUUGGCUUAAAGGCUGGGCUUGUGGGUUGGCCCGAUGCUAGGGCAGGCCUAGAUUCUGUGUCCACAGGGGCCAGCCUGGAACCUGGGGCCACAGAGGCCAGCCUUGCACCAGGAUCCACUGGGGCAAGUCUGGUGCUAGGGUCUGAGGCAAAGUUGUGUGCUCACUCUACUCCCUCCUUCCCUCUACAGAGUGUAUCUCUCCUCCCUCUCUGUUUCCCAGGCUUAGGGGAGGAGUGACAUAGGUAAUGAAAAGCUAUCCUUGCUACCUUCUUCAAUUCUUCAUUUUUAAAAAUUUCUGUCUUCCAUCCAGAUGCUGUAAUUUCUCAUCUGGAUUCUUUAGCUCUUAUAAAAGCAUUUUUUUUGCAUGAAUAGUUGUUUUAAAUUGAUGUUUCCAAGAGAGGAUAGGAGCUGAAAACUUCUGUUCCAUCGUUGCCUUAGUAUAUUUUGAGCUGUUAUAACAGAAUGCCACAGACUGGAUGAUUUAUAAUGAACAGAAUUUUUUUUGUCCCACAGUUCUGGAGGUCAGUAAGUCCAAUAUCAAGGUGCC
rnacentral:lncRNA from 1 species